AUAAUAUUGUAUAGUGAUUUCUUAGAUUCGUUUGAUAGAGAAGGCGAAAACAACCGGACAAUUCGGACUCCUCAAGGAUCUUCAGAGUGAGGAUCAACAAGAGGAGCAGGAGGAUCCUUCAAGGAAGAGGUUGAAGGUUUAAGAUCUCUGACGGAGUUUUAGGACUUUUUGAGAGGGUUUAAUGUGAUUCCGGACACUCCUUUCCUGUUCUACUUAUUUACUCCACUACACCUCUUUACCUGGAUAUGUCUUUCUCACCAGCAGGAGUUUAUAUUUUCAUGAAAAACAUUUUUCUUCUCCCUUUUACUUUUUAAAUAACCCCCCUACUCCCCCCUAAAGGAUCGGCCCCCAAAACUUUUCGUCAGGAAAAUAUAUGCCCCUUGCUUCAUACUUCGCAUACUCUUCUACAGUGUAAACCAGAUACCUGUGGCAUAGAAAGAUGACAUUAAAGCAGUCUUGAAAGUGUAUUUGAAGUUUGUCUAAAGUAAAUAGUUUUACUAGUAGUUUAAAAUCAAUUAUAA